GGAAGGAAGGAAGGAAGGAAUCCUGCUCCUGCUGCUGGGGCUCACAGCCUGCAGCACCUGUCCCGUGUCAGCCCAGAGGCUGGCACUGCUCAGCCCCGAGAAGAGAAGGCUGAGGGCAGAUCUCAUCAGUGCACACAAAUACCUGAAGGGAGGGUGUAAAGAAAGGAGCCAGGAACAUUCCAGUGGUGCCCAGUGACAGGAACAGAGGCAAUGGGUACACACUGAAGCACAGGAGGCUCCCUCAGAAUGUCAAUAAAGACUUUUUCACAGCUACAGUGACUGAGCACUGGCACAGGCUGUCCAGACAGGUUGUGGAGAUAUCUGUCCUUGAAGACAGAUGCCCAAAAGCUGUCUGGACAUGGUCCUGGGCAGCCUGCCCUAAGUGACCCUGCUUGAACAUGCUGGUUGAACCACAUGACCUCCGUGAGUUCCUUCCAACCUCAGCUGCUCUGUGAUUCUGUUAAAGUCUGUGGCAGCUCCUUUUAAAUUGGGGUAGGGAAGUUACCAAGUGAACAAUUUGAAUGUUAGUAACACAUUCCUUUCAGUUACUGGACGUAUUGUUACUGGAUGUAUUUGCUUUUAGUGCGUUUUGAUUUCAUCACAGAUUUUGUGGCUAUCAUCACAUAUAAUAAUCACAUUUAUAUUUGAUUGCUAGUCCUUUGUGGUACUCUGUUUUUCAUUUGCCGUUGUUUACUCUUCCAGAAUUACAAGAACUGCAUGGAUCUAAUGUCUUCAUGUAAACUCUUGAUCCUCAUAUUUAGGACUUUAUGAAAAAACUCAACAGACCUAAAAGUAGCAGUAAUAUUAAAAUGAUGAAGCUCUAUCAUGGAUAUAACUUCAGUUUGGGCAAGUGCAUAAAACUCAUCUGAGCCAGGACCGAAACAACCAGUGGUGACACAGCUGAGAAUAACUGGCAUGGGAAUUGCAAGUGUACCUUGGAGUGUGACCUGGCCUGGUGAGAGAAACAGAACAGGUUGUGUUUUCAGUGAGGAUACUCCAGGCAGUCUGUAGACUCAGGGACACAUUUUGCAUAUAAGAUGUUUAGAGGGAACAGACCCUUGCCAACAGCACCUGCCAAAGCAUGCAUUAUAAUCCCAACAGAAGGUUGUUUGGUUCAGGCCAAAACUGUGCCAAGGACCAUUCUAGCAAUUUAACACUUGCCCUCUAGUGCCAUUCACAGCAUCAUCCAAGUCAGCAGCAUAAAUGCAGCCAAAGUUUGUCAGAACAUAUUUAUUUUUAAUUUUAUUUUAUUCCACUACAUCUGUCUGAAGCCAUUAGCAGCUUCUAAAAUAAGUUCUGUAGUCACAAAUCAACACUUUUUUUUUGUUAUGUUUUUAAAGUGGCUGUACAAAUGGCAAUUUUGUGAGCCAAUCAGCAGAGAGCAAAUAGUGAAAGAGACGUUUUUUCUUGAACAAUACAUCUGAGCAAGAGGAGUAAUUACGGGUGUCUGUCAUUCCAGUCUCAAUAUCUGCAGAGACACUGAAGUGCUAUCUGUUAAACUGACUCCUGGAACCCGGAUAUCCUCCCUCCUGACAGGACAGCUCCUUGCUUAUUUUUGACUCAUCAUCCUGUGCAAGUUUGGUCUUCACAAGCUACAAGAGAUCAGCACUUCAUUUAUGUCUCUAAAGCACAUACAAACAACUGUCUCAAAUAAACAUACUUAGGUGGGACCUAAUGGGAUGCCUUCUAAGUUGAGGACCUUCAUUUCCUGACCUCACAUGAAACAGGGUAGAGUUGUGUUUUCAUCUUCUUAAUUGUCUCCACUUUCCCCUGUUACUUCAGGUUCUUUUGAAUCUAGAAGUUACAGUGCCACUUGCAAGAGUAAUCAUGUUUCCAAAUUUGCCAUUAAUAUUAUAAAGAAUGUUUCCAAAAGUUCUGAAAUUAGCUAUAAAAUAAACCAGGACUGAAAAAACCUCAAUUAAUCAAUAAUUAAGGUUGCUCGCUAAUAAAAAUUGAGAGGUGACUUUAUAUAUGUGAAAAUUCCUUCAUGGGGUAAAAUACUUGAUGCUGACUCUCUAGCAUAUCAGAAAAAUGUGUAACAAAAAACAAUAUAUGGAAUUUAAAAACAGACAAUGCCAAUCAAAAAUCAUGAUUUUUAAAGCUGGAAAUAACUAUCAUAGAAUAAACUUUCAAAGAGAAGUAGCUGAUUGUCUAUUGCUUAAUCUGAUUUCCAAGUAAGACAGUCUGCAUUUCCAGGGAGUGUACUUCAGGUGAGUAUAAUUACUGAAUGCAAUACAUGAGCAGCUGGAUUAAAUGAAGUGGCCUCUGUUAGGUACUUAGAGAAGAUGAAUCAGGUAUUUCUGGCCCUGAAAAGUGUGAGUCUAUGAGAAGAAAGAGGAAAUCAUUACUGGAUCUAUUAAAUCCACUUCUGUUCAGGUUAUAAUCAUGAGAUUAUGAAGUUGUGCUGCUCACACCAGAAAUGCUCUUCACUUCUUUGACCAUUCAAGAAGUCAGCAAAGAGCCUAGCAAUAAAGAUCUCUCUAGAACAGUGUGGCACGGUAACCCAGCCACUUCCACCUUCAGCAACAAAAGCCAGAGAAAAUAAAUAGAAGCACAAAGGCACCAACAGAACUACCAACACACAGACUUACCAACCCAGCCUUUAGAGUUCAGCUUUUUACAUACUGCAUUGAAUGGUUCAAUUCGAUUUGCAGCAACAGUAAAACUAAUAUGAUAUUAAAUUAAUGAAGAAAUUUUAUGUAGUAAGGUAGUGAGGUGGAUUGUUCAAUUUGUUGCUAUUAUGUUUAUACAUCUUCUUAUAAAUCAUUCAAUGUGUUUAUCUUAAAUAGGGAAAUGGUGACAGUAAAGGUUGCACAACGUAGAAGUUGGAAAGACAGUCUCCUUAGACUUGGUCUGCUAAAAGUUCAUAUUCUUGAUUAUAUCUCCAACUGGUUCUUAGUGUAUUUUUUAUCUUCACAGUUUGUUUUGAUUUUUGGCUCGGUUAUUCUUUGGCACUGAAGUAGUAACAGUGAACCACACGUUGCUGUGUUGUAACUGCUGAAAGCCUGGCUGCAUAAUCACAAUUUGCCAAUGUCUACUGACUUCCACUUCUAACAAUAUAAUAAGCAGUGGAUGGACCCUUAUGAAAGUAUUGUGCAGAAUGAGUUGUGUCUGGCAGUUACAGUAAGAAUCAGGGUAAUGCCAUCUGGAUAACGAAAGGCACACAGAAUUUAUAUUUAUAGUCAUUACAGCUAAAGAUCUGAAAUCCAGCGCCUCAAGUGCCAGCGGGAAUUGGAGGGGAGACACAAGGAGGGCUGGUCAUGAAUUGAGCAGAGACUGGUGGCUGCUACGUCUGCAAGAGAUUUUGCUGCUCUAAAGUAUGUGCCUGAGGAGAGAAUAGAAGUUUAGCAGGAGAAAGACUGCUUCAAUAUUUUACCCAGCGCUCAGGAGAUCUAUAUUCACUUCUGAGAUCUGCCAGAACCCCAGGCUGCUCUGACCAUCCUACAGGAAGUCAAAAUCUCCAUAUUCAGUACUUCAGGCUUUUGAUUGCUGCCUUUCUGAAGCUGCUGAGCCUGCCUUCCUAAGGGACUGGCUGUACUAAGAGAUGUAUCAAGCUUACACUGAAUUUUUUGAUUGCUAUUUUGUUUAUUGUGCUCCUUUUGUGUCUCUUGAGGGUGUCCAGUAACACCAUCCAUCCCGCUGUCCAUUUGGGAACAUCUGAAGUGAGUGGAAAGGAAUGGGAGGGGGUAAGCAUGUGAACCAAACACUGCAUCUCUAAAGUCAUGUUGUCCCCGCUAAGCAGAUGUCCUUCCAUGUAAAGCAGGGCUGCCAGCAGCCCUCUCCAGAGGCUUGGCUCAGCUUGAACACUUGAGCAGAGCAGAGAGGCCCUUCCUGCCAAGUCUCCCCUUGGGUCACAGUGGCAGAAGGUGUGGCUUUCCUCCAUCAUCUCGCUAUCAGCUGCGCUCUCCUCUCACAGGGAGCUUUCAGGACUGGUCCAAAGCCAACACAGCUCAACACAGCAUGCUGAGACUUGGCAUGGGCUGGGGGAAGAGUAGGGGAAUUACCUCUUUGUGGGGAUAGCCUGACAUUCUCUCUAGGUUUUGCCUCCUCCACGGUUGUUGAGGGUACUGGAAUUUAGGCUCUGUUUCAGAAAUGUGGCAUUUGCCAGUCUCUUGAAGACCCACAUACAUUUGUUCAAGUUAGAAGUAUUGUAAUCAUUAUCUAAAGCUAAAACUGAAAUUUAUGGCUUUUAUUAAGAGAAUUAGAGUAAGAUCAACAUGAUUUUGGCAGAAUUAGAGGACAACUCUAGCUAAGUGCUGACCUACAUAAAGAAAAAGAACAAACUGAGAACAUUUUGACUUGGCAUCAAUGGCAGGAGAGAAACAACUUUGCCUGCAAUAAGCUGUAUGCCAAGUCCCAUAACUUAAGAAGUUCUACAUAUUGGCAAGCAUACAGAACUCAUACACUUUUAAAACUUAGCAAAUGUCUACUUUCAACUUUAUAGGAUUUCUAAAAAUGUCUAAUUGUGAUAGCAAGUGGAAUAUGAAUUCAAAUGAGCUUAAAUUAAAUUUCUAAAAUUAGAAUGAGCAUUUAAAUUAGUACAUACCUAGGAACAACUCAAAAUAAAUUUUGGACCCUCUUAAGAAACAUUCUGAAUUAAUGUAUUACAUAUCAAAGUAGCAUGUAUUUUUACAAGUAGCUAGGCAAUUCAGCAUAUAUGAAAUUGUAAAUAUGUGUUUCUACAAGUAAGUGCCAGUAAUAUUAGGCAGAGGCAUGAUUAUUGUUAGUGCUUGUAAUAUCUUCUGGAAUAAUAAAAACAAGCUGGGUCUACUAUGACCUUUUUCAUUAUGUUUUUUGUUUUACUUAGGCAAUUUAAUUUUCUUCAUCUGUGUUACAAUAUGAUCAUUUCAACAGAAAAGUUAUGCUACUGAAAUGUUAGAAGCAGCUACAAAAGAACACAGUCAUAACUGAGGAUUUUUUUAAUGGGGUAAAAAAGACUUUUACUGAUAUUGUCUUUUUUCCCAAUUUAACACUUUUUUUCCUCUCAAAAUAAUUGGAAAGAGUUUUGCUCCUUUGUUAGGAGUUGAAAGUAAAAUAUGUAAAAAUGUCCUGCUGGUGUACAUACAUUGUUCUGUCACAGCCUGGGCUGAAUGUCCCACUUUUCUCUAAAAGUUAUUAACAUAUGCCAAAGAGCUUGUGGAAGGCCUGAUGGAGGAUCAAACUCUAUCCUAGCAGCCUUGAGGGGUCUUGCCAUGGAGACAUGCCUUCCCACGGGCUUCUUCCCAGCAAUCACAGAAUGCUAAAAUAUAUCAAGAGUCGUGGGAAACCAGCCGCUCCUGAAAUGUGCCCCGUAUUGUGACAGAAACAGUGAGCUGCAUUAGGAUUGUGCAAAAAAAGUAAGGAUAAUAUCAUUUAUUCAUAAUCAUCAAAACAUCUCCAGUGGAACUCAUCUGACAAAGGAGUGUAACGUUAGGACACAUAACAAUGGUACCAGAAAUUUGCCAGGAGAUUUAACUGGAAAAAUGCCUUUCCAUUUUCAGGCACUCCCCACAAUGGCAAGAGCAAAAAGAAAUUAAAUUCAAAAACUGAAAAAGAGAUUGUGGGAAAAAACCCAUUUAAUCUGGCAGUGCUGCUGGCAAUUGGCUAACAUCUUCAUGCCAUGUAGCUGUGUGGUUUCUCUGUUCUGGUAACCCCUGCCUGAGCAUGGCCUGCAGAGAAAUCUGUGUUGAUCUCAUGAGUCAUUCCCAGGAGAUGGCAAACAUGACUAAAAGACUGGAAAACAAGACACAUGUUACAGGAUGAAAACCAAAAGAACUGGAGGGUGUUUAAAAAGCAGUCAAGAGAUUAACUCUGGAGAGACAGCGUAAGGAAAUGGGCAUGAAGGAGGGAUGCAGAACAUGAUCACAGUACCCUUUGCUCCUGCUGUCCUCCAGAGGUGCUGCUUGAGUGCAGGGAGUCCAUGGCAACCCCACAGAGAGCUGAAGGACGAGGCAGUUGUCUCACUGGUCCCAGACAAGGAGACCACUAAUGGUCCCUCUGGCAUACAACUACCAUUCUCCAUUACACAUGUA